UUUUAGCUCUUGCAGUUUGUGAUUACCGUGUGAAAGGCUCUUACGGAUUUUAGGUUUGGCUUUGGAAGGAAGAGGAAGAUGCGUUUAUUUUUUAUGACUUCUAAACCCUCAAGUUUGUCCGUCUAAAUGCUUCAACCGCCAUUCAAGCAAAGGAUUCCCACAUUCUUCAAAAUAAGGAGAGGCUGCUUACUUUGGAGAAGCAGCUUAAUCAUUCAUCCAAGCAUACCGAUGUUUUUGUCAAAGUUUAGCAAAUUAUUGCAGAAACAAUGGGAGCCUUGGGCCUUUCAUUUAUUAAACUGACUAAGUUUGAAAACCAACAUGCCUUUGCACCUACCCGGGCUUGCUAACAUGAAGAAUCUUGCUACUGGUGCCAAUUAAAUGAAGAAUCUUGCUACUGGUGCCAAUUAAUACCAGUAGACUUUUCCGGGAAUUAAGUUCAGAACUGUUAUACAUAUGGAUACACUGCAUGAUAACAUGGGUUUAUUAUUUUGAGCAGGGCCUCCUGUCUUGCAUCGUUCAGCAAUACAUCUCUACCAUCUCAUGUCUCAAUAUUUGGCAUUGCUUGGGAAAUUUAUAGCUG